rnacentral:rRNA from 1 species
AACGAACGCUGGCGGCAUGCCUAACACAUGUAAGUCGAACGAGACCUUCGGGUCUAGUGGCGCACGGGUGCGUAACGCGUGGGAACCUGCCCUUAGGUUCGGAAUAACUCCCCGAAAGGGGUGCUAAUACCGGAUAAUGUCUUCGGACCAAAGAUUUAUCGCCUUUGGAUGGGCCCGCGUUGGAUUAGCUAGUUGGUAGGGUACAAGCCUACCAAGGCGACGAUCCAUAGCUGGUCUGAGAGGAUGAUCAGCCACACUGGGACUGAGACACGGCCCAGACUCCUACGGGAGGCAGCAGUGGGGAAUAUUGGACAAGGGGCGAAAGCCUGAUCCAGCAAUGCCGCGUGAGUGAUGAAGGCCUUAGGGUUGUAAAGCUCUUUUACCCGGGAUGAUAAUGACAGUACCGGGAGAAUAAGCGCCGGCUAACUCCGUG